UACGGAGGGUGCAAGCGUUAUCCGGAUUCACUGGGUUUAAAGGGUGCGUAGGCGGGCAGGUAAGUCCGUGGUGAAAUCCCCGAGCUUAACUCGGGAACUGCCAUGGAUACUAUUUGUCUUGAAUAUUGUGGAGGUAAGCGGAAUAUGUCAUGUAGCGGUGAAAUGCUUAGAUAUGACAUAGAACACCAAUUGCGAAGGCAGCUUGCUACACAGUUAUUGACGCUGAGGCACGAAAGCGUGGGGAUCGAACGGG
rnacentral:rRNA from 1 species